AUGAGGGAAAGCAUCCCUGUGCCGGGCAGGACACAGCUGGGCGCAGGCGGGAGCCCCCAGGCUGGAGCGUCUGCCCUGGAAGGCUGGAGGUGGGCAGAAAGAUGGAAGCAUGAAACCUCCUGUGUCCGCGCCGGUCAGAGUCUGGAGGCAGCAGGGGCACGGGCCUCGGGGAGGAACAGAACUGCAGGGCAAGGGCCGGCACUGCAGAAGAAAGCGGGUGGAGGGUCCAGAGAAGGCUUCCGUGGCUCCUUAUUCCUCACCCGUGAGACCCCAGGUGCUAAAGGGAAUGGGAGGCUGCCCCUCCAGUCCAGGGCGGUUUCUUGGCACAGGUGGUUGAGGACCAGGAGCUCAGGAGCCGCUAGGAGGCAGGUGCAGAAGCCAAGGCAGCCUGCGCUGGGAGAGGCCCAGUGGGGCAGCCCCUGCGCCUCCCUCUGUCUUGCUCCCUGGUCAGUGGAGCUCCGUCCCCGCCUCCAGCCACCAUACCCAGGGCUUCAGGUACGGGAGAGCGCGGAGGUGGCCCGGUGUCUCCCCUCACAGGGCCUGCUCGCCCCCAGGAAGGGGGUCCCUCCCGCAAGGUCUCUCGGAGCACUGAGCGCGUGCUCAGGGCUGUCCCCAACCCCAGUUCUCCAGACAGCACCCAACGGCUCGCUCCUCGUGCUGCGGGGAGGGAAAACUGGGUCAGCCUCCCUCCUGCCGUCGGUGCAGGAGGUGCUUUCGAGGCGCCAGGAGCUCUUGGGGGCUGCCCUGCCGGUGGGUGGCUCGCCCUCGGCCUUCUCUGUGGCGGAGGACCAUGUCUCCGGAGGACCCCGCGGGCGGGGAGGGAGACGUCGCGGUUUGCCAAGGUGUGUGUUCCCCGGUGAUUCCGAGGCCCGGCGGCUCGUCGCACCGGCUGCACUUGCCAGACCCCAUGGCGGCGCGCGCCCCCCUGGCUCCACUCGCAGGGGACCCCGGUCUCGGGCGGGAAACCGGGUGGCGGGGCCAUUUUGGGAAGCAAAGAGAAGCUGCGAGGCGCCGGGCGAGCGAACCCAAAGCCUCAGAGCCAGGAGGGGGGCCGGCUCCGCGGGCCAGGGCGGGACCCAGGGAAUGCGCGCCUGCUCGUCCAGUGAGUCGGGGCGCGCUUCCUGGAGGAGGAGGAGAGCUCUCGGCCCGAGCCCACGGGAUGAAUGA
rnacentral:lncRNA from 1 species